GCCAGUGUGGUGUAGUGGUUGGGCAUUGGACUGUGACUCUGGAGACCAGAGUUCGAAUCCCUACUCAGCCA
rnacentral:tRNA from 1 species